AUUGAACGCUGGCGGCAUGCAUUACACAUGCAAGUCGAACGGUAACAGGUUAAGCUGACGAGUGGCGAACGGGUGAGUAAUGCAUCGGAACGUGCCCGAUCGUGGGGGAUAACGCAGCGAAAGCUGCGCUAAUACCGCAUACGAUCUGAGGAUGAAAGCGGGGGACCGUAAGGCCUCGCGCGAUCGGAGCGGCCGAUGUCAGAUUAGGUAGUUGGUGGGGUAAAGGCUCACCAAGCCAACGAUCUGUAGCUGGUCUGAGAGGACGACCAGCCACACUGGGACUGAGACACGGCCCAGACUCCUACGGGAGGCAGCAGUGGGGAAUUUUGGACAAUGGGCGAAAGCCUGAUCCAGCAAUGCCGCGUGCAGGAAGAAGGCCUUCGGGUUGUAAACUGCUUUUGUACGGAGCGAAAAGGCCCUCUCUAAUACAGGGGGUUUAUGACGGUACCGUAAGAAUAAGCACCGGCUAACUACGUGCCAGCAGCCGCCGCCG
rnacentral:rRNA from 1 species